rnacentral:lncRNA from 1 species
UCUAUCUUAUACAGGAGCAAGAAAAGGGUUGGACUACACACACACACUCACUUAAGACUUGAUUGUUGGGUUGAAAAAGGAUUACAAGAAAUGCUUGAGUUUGUGAUUAGUGUACUCUUUGAAAUAAAAGCCUUUGAGGAGACAUGUGCUUUAAUUUAAUUGUCAUAUGAUAAUGUUAAUUUAUGCUACCAUGUUUAUGCCUUUUGCUUGAGGACAAGCAAAGAUUCAAGUGUGGGGGAG